rnacentral:rRNA from 1 species
AUGAUGUCUCCUUCGGGCCUGCAUCUCCGUCACUGCCCGCAGUUUUUCGACGGUGUUCCCUAUAUUGAUCCUGUCUUGCACAGGCGUCGUCGUUCAGUGCUUGGUGUUCGUCGCUGCGACGUUGUCCCCUACGGCAUAGCAUCUUCAGCAGGCUGUGCUGGUCACUAUUCAUCGAUUCUUCUCGCGGCUUCUGCCCGUGGUGAUGGUGCCUGCUCUACACCAACUGCUCUCGUGGCUUCCGUGCGCGGCAAUGACCGCUUCACGUCGUCUCCCUCGAUGGCUGCCACAUGUGGCUCUACAUCGACUCGCCACUCUCGGUCGCCUCCAUACACGGCUUUCACGGGUGGUAGCGACUGCUCAUCGUCGGCAGGUGUUUCUACCUCAACUUCUUCCGCCGUGGCCUUGUCUGCGCGUGAGAUUGCGCAGCUGCAAUGCCUUCUUGCCGCUUGGGAAUCUUCUGCAGGAUCCGUGACCGACUCUUCUGGCAAUGAGAAACCACCUUCUACCCAUUCAAGUACAUCCCCAUGGAUUCUUGAUACUGGAGCGUCUUUUCAUAUGACUUAUGAUUCUUCCACUUUGACCUCUAUUCGACCAGUCGAGUCUCCUGUUCGUGUUCUUACGGCUGAUGGCACUCCCCUUCUUGUAGCUAGUCGAGGCACUCUUAGCACUUCUUCAUUUCAUGUUCCCUCUGUAGCUCAUGUUCCUCGACUUACCAUGCAGCUCAUAUCUGGUGGACAGAUUGUAGACUCUAGUUGUAGGGUCAUUCUCGACUUUGAUCCGUGUUCUGUUCAGGAUCGUCGCACAGGCGCUCUGCUUGGUGCUGGCCCUCGACGCUCUGAUGGUCGUUGGGAGCUUGACUGCCUUCGUCUUCCCUCCGCUGCCACCGUCGCCAGUGUCAUAACCCCUGUUGCUGCAUCUACCAGCUCUUUUCAACAAUGGCAUCAUCGUCUUGGCCAUUUAUGUGGUUCUCGUCUCUCGUCUUUGGUUCAUAGCGGUGUUCUGGGGUCUGUCUUCGGUAACGUUUCAUUGGAUUGUCUAGGUUGUAGGCUUGGCAAGCAAAUUCAGCUACCCUAUCCUCACAGUGAGUCGGUGUCCGAGCGCCCUUUUGAUCUCAUUCACUCUGAUGUCUGGGGUCCGGCUCCCUUCGCUUCGAAAGGGGGUCAUCGGUACUAUAUUUUCUUUAUAGACGAUUUUUCUCGGUAA